UUUAAAUUAAAAAAUAAAAAUUAAAGUAUUAAUAGCUAUGUUCUUAAAAUUUAAAAAAUUUGGCGGUAUUUUAAUCUAUUCAGAGGAGCUUGUUUUAUAAUUGAUAAUCCCCAAUAAAUCUUACUUAAUAUAGUUUAAUUUGUAUAUCGUUGUCAUAAGAAAAUCUUAAAAAAGAAAAAAUUUUCUAAUAAAAUAAAUAUUUUAUAUGUCAGAUCAAGGUGCAGUUUAUGAUUAAGAAAAAAUGAGCUACAUUUAAUAUUAUUAAUAAUGAAAUAUUGAUUGUAAUAUCAAUAGGAAAGUGGAUUUGAUAGUAAAUU
rnacentral:rRNA from 1 species